AACGAACGCUGGCGGCAGGCCUAACACAUGCAAGUCGAGCGAGACCUUCGGGUCUAGCGGCGGACGGGUGAGUAACGCGUGGGAACGUGCCCUUCUCUACGGAAUAGUCCCGGGAAACUGGGUUUAAUACCGUAUACGCCCUUCGGGGGAAAGAUUUAUCGGAGAAGGAUCGGCCCGCGUUAGAUUAGGUAGUUGGUGGGGUAAUGGCCUACCAAGCCUACGAUCUAUAGCUGGUUUUAGAGGAUGAUCAGCCACACUGGGACUGAGACACGGCCCAGACUCCUACGGGAGGCAGCAGUGGGGAAUCUUAGACAAUGGGCGCAAGCCUGAUCUAGCCAUGCCGCGUGAGUGAUGAAGGCCUUAGGGUCGUAAAGCUCUUUCGCUGGGGAAGAUAAUGACGGUACCCAGUAAAGAAACCCCGGCUAACUCCGUGCCAGCAGCCGCGGUAA
rnacentral:rRNA from 1 species